UACGUAGGUGACAAGCGUUGUCCGGAUUUACUGGGCGUAAAGAGCGCGCAGGCGGUCGUUCAAGUCGAGUGUGAAAGCCCCCGGCUCAACUGGGGAGGGUCACUCGAUACUGAUCGACUCGAAGGCAGGAGAGGGUAGUGGAAUUCCCGGUGUAGUGGUGAAAUUCGUAGAUAUUGGGAAGAACACCGGUGGCGAAGGCGGCUAUCUGGCCCGUAAUUGACGCUGAGGCGCGAAAGCGUGGGGAGCAAACAGG
rnacentral:rRNA from 1 species